GAGAGUUAAACAGUACGUGAAAUUGUUGAAAGGGAAACGAUUGAAGUCAGUCGUGCUGGCGCGAAAUCAACCUUCUUGUCGAGAGAUCACAUGGCGUGGCGAGCCUCAAAACCGUCACGAAGCGUGAAUUCUUGGUGAAAUGGAGCACUUUCGUGUCCGCUGGUUAACAUCAAUUUCGAACGUCAUAAAAAGGCUGGAGGGAUGUGGCUCCUUCGGGAGUGUUAUAACCUUUAGCGGAAUGUGGUGGUCGGGAUUGAGGAUUGCAACGAAUACCUUUAGGGCUGUUCCACCUGGCUUCUCUUUGGUAUCCUGGUGACGACAGCUUGCUGACGUUGUUAGGAUUCGCCUUUGAACAGGCUAGAGUGUGAGCAAAUUCGUUAAGGAUGUUAACGUAAUGGCUUUAAACGA
rnacentral:rRNA from 1 species